UGAGGAAUAUUGGUCAAUGGGCGCUAGCCUGAACCAGCCAAGUAGCGUGCAGGACGACGGCCCUAUGGGUUGUAAACUGCUUUUAUGCGGGGAUAAAGUCACCCACGUGUGGGUGUUUGCAGGUAUCGCAUGAAUAAGGACCGGCUAAUUCCGUGCCAGCAGCCGCGGUAAUACGGAAGGUCCGGGCGUUAUCCGGAUUUAUUGGGUUUAAAGGGAGUGUAGGCGGCCUGUUAAGCGUGUUGUGAAAUGUAGAUGCUCAACAUCUGAACUGCAGCGCGAACUGGCUGGCUUGAGUACACGCAACGUGGGCGGAAUUCAUGGUGUAGCGGUGAAAUGCUUAGAUAUCAUGAGGAACUCCUAUUGCGAAGGCAGCUCACGGGAGUGUCACUGACGCUUAAGCUCGAAGGUGCGGGUAUCAAACAGG
rnacentral:rRNA from 2 species